UUUCACUACUACGGGAAACGAGAGUGAAAUAGAUCAAGCCAUGUGUCUAAGUUUUAACUGCUUGUAAAAUGAUCACCCUCAGAUUUGUGUCCUGUCUGUCUGCCACCCAAGAUGCACUUUCAUAACACCAUUAUGCCUCUUCAGGAGUGAAGGGAACUUUGAAGCUUGGAAAGAAAGGCAGAAGAAGGUGCUGGAGAGAGAUGCUUGAUGUGAAAGAAGCACUUUGCAUUUCAGAUGAAAAUUAGGCCAAGACGGUGAUGUGUUUUGCCACCCAGCUCCAACACACAGGGGGAAGUUCCUUUCCAUAAUUUGUGAUGCAUAUGUUCCUUUUACUUGGUAAUCCUCACCAAGUGCCACCAGCCCCGUCUCCAAAGAUGGUCUUCAGUCUGUGCGCUUCUCCACUCAGCAAGCCUACCCUACUCCAAGAUGCUGUUCACUCCUUCCUGAAUGACAGCUAGAAGGGCUGAUUUUAUUCCUUCAGCACACACUGGUUUUCCACUCAGCAGCCAGAAUUUCAUGCUUCUUCGGAGCUUGAAACCCUUCCGUGGGGCUUUAUUGCUGUUUAUUAAACUGAAGCACAUGGUGCCUAGAGGAGCACAUCACUGGCACACAAUAAAUAUGUAUCCAAUCAGUUAUUAUUGAGGUGCUCGGUGAUGUGGCCAUGGAAACUGCUGAAACUUCACUUUGGGAAGACGAAUGCCGUGUGCAGUAACUAUUCGACAUCAUCUUGCCUGCCUCCUUGUUCCAACACAGAUAGAUUAGCAGACGGAUGCUGGACAGCCAGGAUUUAUUUUUCACUGCAUGCAAUCAGGCGCGGGACACCAUGUAGGCCAUGCCUGUUUAUUGCAGCUCAAGGUUGACCAUCUCCAAUCCGAAGAUCUGGAAUCUGAAAUGAUCCAUACUCCAAGGCUUUCUAAGGGCCAGCGUGAUGCAACAAGUAGAAAAUUUCAUGUCGUGAAACUUUGUUUCAUGUACAAGAUUAUUUUAACACAUCAUAUAUAAUAUUUAACACAUCAUAUAACCUUCAGGCUAUGUGUAUUGGGUGUACAUAGAACACAAAUAAAUAUCUUGUUUAGAUUUGUGUCCCAUCCUUAAGAUAUUUCAUUAUGAAUAUACAAAUAUGGUAAAAUUUAAAAAUAAUUGAUAUCUGAGGUAUUUCUGGUCCAAAACUUAGUGAACAAGGGAUACUCAACUUGUGCAUUGAACUAAUAACUGAGGGACCUAAACCGAGGCCCUUUGGUCCCUCAGAUGCCCACCUUUCUGCCCCAUCUCCUCAAGUGAAAGAGUCUGUGAACCAAAUUUACUCCUUCCUUGUCCUGUGGCUGUCAUAGACAGGUGGUAGGUGAGGCCAACCGGUACAGGCCAGGAUGGGGACAGCUGAGGUGGGGAUUGCUUAGGACCAGUUUCUCUAUAGCUUUGCUUCUCUGCUCCAUUUCUGCAUCCAUUCCUUGGCUUCAGAAUGACCUGCUGAAAUGCCUCCAGAGGCCCUGCAGGGUGUACUCAGUGAAAUAAAGGCUUGGGCCCUCGUCACAUUGCUAUUGGCCACUCUUUUGGUCUGGACUGCAGGAUGAAGGAAGGCUCUGAGUGUUCAGCCUUUAAGUAAAAAUUCUCCGGAAGGGGAAUCUCACUAUCAAGCUUCCUUUGAGGCCCUUUCCCAUAGAUAUGUCAGUGGUUCUUUAUGACUGAAAUUCAAAGAAAGCUCCAAAGUGAAGAAGAAAGUGCUUUAAAUCUCUUCCACCCACGGCUUGUCUUUCCUGGUUCUAUAAGUUUAUUAUAUUAUUUUUAGUAUGUUUACGUAGUGCUUUGAGUUGGCCAAGCAGAAUAUCUGGACUUCUGAUCAGAACACGUCUGUGUCCUCCAUCACUGGUAUCCACUGGUAGGAGGCUCAAAAUAGUCCAGCAAACUCUUCGUUUUACCUGUUAAAAGAAGAGAAAAGAUAGUAAUGCUCUGUUCACUCCUGCCCCUAAAUUCCUUCUGGGCAUGGAACAUAGUCAUGUGGAGGUUGAUUCCAAGGAGUCCUAUGGACACCAAAAUUUGAGAAUGCUGAAGUACUUCAUUUUAAAGAGAGUAUUUGCAUCUAUUGCCCCUCUCCCUUUCUUUCUUUUCUUUUCUUUCUUUUUCUUUCUGUGCUGGGGACUUAACCCAGGGUGUCUAGCAAGACAAGUACUCUACCACUCACCUGCAUCCCAUCCUCUCAUGUGCACUUUAAAUCCCUUAUAGAAUGUUUAUAAUA